rnacentral:lncRNA from 1 species
GAAGGUGGGUGGCCCGCCCCGCCUAGGACAGUCAUGUUUGACUGGGCUUACACACAUUCGCUCACUUACGAAUCGGAACCUUUAUGCGUUGGUAGGCUUUCGACUCAAUCGAAUAGUCGGGCACCAAUAAAAGAAAAAGUUUUCGCACGGGCUCAUCAUCUGAUGCAGAACUUAUUUCAUAACCCCCAUCCGUCACCAAUCA